rnacentral:rRNA from 1 species
AUUAACGCUGGCGGUAUGUCUAAUACAUGCAAGUCGCGCGAGGUUUCGAACCGAGCGGCGAACGGCUGAGUAACACGUUGGAACCUUCCCCGAACACAGGGAUAACACCUAGAAAUAGGUGCUAAUACCGGAUAGUCCCGAAAGGGUAAAGCUACGGCGGUUCGGGAGGGGCCUGCGGCCUAUCAGCUUGUUGGUGAGGUAACGGCUCACCAAGGCUAUGACGGGUAACUGGUCUGAGAGGAUGACCAGUCAGAAUGGGACUGAGACACGGCCCAUACUCCUACGGGAGGCAGCAGUAAAGAAUCUUCCACAAUGGGCGAAAGCCUGAUGGAGCAAUACCGCGUGGGUGAUGAAGGUCGAAAGAUUGUAAAGCCCUUUUCUGAGGGAAUAAUUUUGAAUGUACCUCAGGAAUAAGCACCGGCUAACUCCGU